CCUACGGGAGGCUGCAGUGGGGAAUAUUGCACAAUGGGGGAAACCCUGAUGCAGCGACGCCGCGUGAGUGAAGAAGUAAUUCGUUAUGUAAAGCUCUAUCAGCAGGGAAGAAAAUGACGGUACCUGAGUAAGAAGCCCCGGGUAACUACGUGCCAGCAGCCGCGGUAAUCCGUAGGGGGCAAGCGUUAUCCGGAUUUACGGGGUGUUAAUGGAGCGUAGACGGCAGUGCAAGUCUGGAGGGAAAGGCGGGGGCUCAACCCCCGGACUGCUCUGGAAACUGUACGGCUGGAGUGCAGGAGAGGUAAGUGGAAUUCCUAGUGUAGCGGGGAAAUGCGUAGAUAUUAGGAGGAACACCAGUGGCGAAGGCGGCUUACUGGACUGUAACUGACGUUGAGGCUCGAAAGCGUGGGGAGCAAACAGGAUUAGAUACCCCAGUAGUC
rnacentral:rRNA from 1 species